CACGUAGGGGGCAAGCGUUGUCCGGAUUUAUUGGGCGUAAAGAGCUCGUAGGCGGCUUAGUAAGUCGGGUGUGAAACCUCCAGGCUCAACCUGGAGACGCCACCCGAUACUGCUGUGGCUAGAGUCCGGUAGGGGAGCGUGGAAUUCCUGGUGUAGCGGUGAAAUGCGCAGAUAUCAGGAGGAACACCAGCGGCGAAGGCGGCGCUCUGGGCCGGUACUGACGCUGAUUGUGCGAAAGCUAGGGGAGCGAACCGG
rnacentral:rRNA from 1 species